AGUGAACGCUGGCGGUAGGCCUAACACAUGCAAGUCGAACGGCAGCACGGUAAGAGUUUGCUCUUACGGGUGGCGAGUGGCGGACGGGUGAGGAGUACAUCGGAAUCUUCUUUUUCGUGGGGGAUAACGUAGCGAAACUUACUCUAAUACCGCAUAUGCCGUACGGGUGAAAGCAGGGGAUCUUCGCAGCUUUCGCGAUUGAAUGAGCCGCUGUCGGGUUAGUUAGUUGGGCGGGUAAAGACCCACCCAGGCGACGAUCCGUAGCGGGUCUGAGAGACGGGUAGGCCACACGGGAGCUGAGACACGGUCCAGGCUACUAAGGGAGGCAGCAGUGGGGUAUAUUAGGCAAUGGGCGCAAGCCUGAUACAGCCAUCCCGCGUGGGUGAAGAAGGCCUUCGGGUCGUAAAGCCCUUUUGUUGGGAAAGAAAAGCUGCAGGUUAAUACGACGCGGUACUGACGGUACCGAAAGAAUAAGCACCGGCUAACUACGUG
rnacentral:rRNA from 1 species